AGGAAUAUUGGUCAAUGGACGAGAGUCUGAACCAGCCAAGUAGCGUGAAGGAUGACUGCCCUAUGGGUUGUAAACUUCUUUUAUACGGGAAUAAAGUGAGUCACGUGUGGCUUUUUGUAUGUACCGUAUGAAUAAGGAUCGGCUAACUCCGUGCCAGCAGCCGCGGUAAUACGGAGGAUCCGAGCGUUAUCCGGAUUUAUUGGGUUUAAAGGGAGCGUAGGCGGGUUGUUAAGUCAGUUGUGAAAGUUUGCGGCUCAACCGUAAAAUUGCAGUUGAUACUGGCGACCUUGAGUGCAACAGAGGUAGGCGGAAUUCGUGGUGUAGCGGUGAAAUGCUUAGAUAUCACGAAGAACUCCGAUUGCGAAGGCAGCUUACUGGAUUGUAACUGACGCUGAUGCUCGAAAGUGUGGGUAUCAAACAGGAUUAAAUACCCUGGUAGUCCACACAGUAAACGAUGAAUACUCGCUGUUGGCGAUAUACGGUCAGCGGCCAAGCGAAAGCAUUAAGUAUUCCACCUGGGGAGUACGCCGGCAACGGUGAAACUCAAAGGAAUUGACGGGGGCCCGCACAAGCGGAGGAACAUGUGGUUUAAUUCGAUGAUACGCGAGGAACCUUACCCGGGCUUAAAUUGCAACUGACUGAAUCGGAAACGGUUCUUUCUUCGGACAGUUGUGAAGGUGCUGCAUGGUUGUCGUCAGCUCGUGCCGUGAGGUGUCGGCUUAAGUGCCAUAACGAGCGCAACCCUUACGGGUAGUUACCAUCAGGUUAUGCUGGGGACUCUACCCGGACUGCCGUCGUAAGAUGUGAGGAAGGUGGGGAUGACGUCAAAUCAGCACGGCCCUUACGUCCGGGGCUACACACGUGUUACAAUGGGGGGUACAGAAGGCAGCUACACGGCGACGUGGUGCUAAUCCCAAAAGCCUCUCUCAGUUCGGAUUGGAGUCUGCAACCCGACUCCAUGAAGCUGGAUUCGCUAGUAAUCGCGCAUCAGCCACGGCGCGGUGAAUACGUUCCCG
rnacentral:rRNA from 1 species